rnacentral:rRNA from 1 species
GACGAACGCUGGCGGCGUGCCUAAUACAUGCAAGUCGAGCGGACUGGCCGGAGUCCUUGCACUCGUGAGAGUUCGCGGCGGGUGGGUAAGAAACAUGUAGGCAACCCUUCCUUUAGUGUGGUAUUUAGACCGGAAAGGAUACCUACGAACAGAUAAUUUAUCACCUCGGAUUACGUGAUAAUGAAAGACGGGGCAGUCUGGUACUUGGGGAUGGGCAUGGGGUGUAUUGGCUAGUUGGGGGGGUAAGGGCCCACCAAGUCGACGAUGCGGAGCCGACCUGGGAGGGGGAUCGGCCACACUGGAACUGAGACACGGCCCAGACUCCUACGGGAGGCAGCAGUAGGGAAUCUUCCGCAAUGGGCGAAAGCCUGACGGAGCAACGCCGCGUGAGUGAUGAAGGUUUUCGGAUCGUAAAGCUCUGUUGCGAGGGAAGAACGGCUCUUAGAGUAACUGCUAUGAGAGUGACGGUACUGGAGAAGAAAGCCCCGGCUAACUACGUG